CCUUGUACACACCGCCCGUCACACCGAUGGGAGUCGUUUGCUCCAGAAGUGCUAUGCCAACCGCAAGGAGGUAGGUCCCAAGGAGUGAACGGUAACUGGGGUG
rnacentral:rRNA from 1 species